GAUGAACGCUGGCGGCGUGCCUAAUACAUGCAAGUCGAGCGAACAGACGAGGAGCUUGCUCCUCUGACGUUAGCGGCGGACGGGUGAGUAACACGUGGAUAACCUACCUAUAAGACUGGGAUAACUUCGGGAAACCGGAGCUAAUACCGGAUAACAUGUUGAACCGCAUGGUUCAACAGUGAAAGACGGUCUUGCUGUCACUUAUAGAUGGAUCCGCGCCGCAUUAGCUAGUUGGUAAGGUAACGGCUUACCAAGGCAACGAUGCGUAGCCGACCUGAGAGGGUGAUCGGCCACACUGGAACUGAGACACGGUCCAGACUCCUACGGGAGGCAGCAGUAGGGAAUCUUCCGCAAUGGGCGAAAGCCUGACGGAGCAACGCCGCGUGAGUGAAGAAGGUCUUCGGAUCGUAAAACUCUGUUAUUAGGGAAGAACAAAUGUGUAAGUAACUAUGCACGUCUUGACGGGACCUAAUCAGAAAGCCACGGCGAACUACGU
rnacentral:rRNA from 1 species